AAUAAGAGUCGGUUGGCUAAAUAUGCCACGUCUGCCCUAGUUAGGUGGGUGCUGUAUGAAUAUCAAGACAUAUGACCUACAUAAUUUGUGGAACUUCAUAUGGUUGGCUCGCUUUGGUUGACCUUCCAUUUCA